CAUUGAGAGUGCUGACACAAGACAACCAUUCCUCCUCUGCAUCAGUGAGCGAAAGAAGGAUAUCCCAAAGUUCUACGUUAUUAUCGACCAAAAGGCGAUCCCAUGCGGCGUUGUGUGUUGCGCUGGAUGGAGCUUGACUGCCCUCGUGUGUCCAACCUCGGGAACGGCAAUUUCCCAGAAGCGGUUUUCUGGGCGGCAUUGUGCUGGAUGGAGCUUGACUGCCCUCGUGUGUCCAAACUCGGGAACGGCAGUUUCCCAGAAGGGGUAUUCUGUUCCAAGUUCGUGGUAGUUAGCCAAGAAAUAUUACAUGAUUACUAUUACUCUCCCCCCCACCCCCCUUUUUUUUUUUAAACCUGUUUGUGAUAAUUAUUGUAUACAUUACCUUUAUCUUUGUAAUGUUCCUCCCUAUUUGUCACCUAUUCUCGAGUAAAAUAGAUGAGGCCACGUAGGGAACACAUGAAGCAGUGAUGAGAAUGAAAUUUCUACUAUUAGAAAUACAUUAAUAUUUUCAUAUUACAAAUCAAUUUGUGUACUUUAACAUUAUAUAAUAUACAUAGCAGUAUAUUUAUCAAUUCAAUUUUUAUUUAUUUGUAUAGCGCUUUUACAAUAGACAUUGUCUCAAAGCAGCUUUACAGAAAUAUCAAAUUAUUUAUCAUCAUCAUCAUCAUCAUCAUCAUGUGUGAAUAUGCUUUAAAUGUGUUUGUGUGCUGUCUGUAUACCGUGUCUCUUUCCGUCUGUCUGGCCGGCACGCGCACAUAUAUAGUGAAAUCGGAGCAGCGUUCAGAGUUCUAGACCUGUCCUAGUGGUAUGCGUGACCAUUUUCCCCGUUUAUGACGCCGCGAAUGUCGAGUUAUUAAACGUUGUGGUAUCUGAGCAGGCCUCUGUAUUCAUUUGAACGGAGUUGUAUUAAAUCAUUGCUGUAUCUAACCUUUGCAUUUUGGUAAAUAAAUAAAUGACUUUUAUCCAAA